AAAUAUAAACAUUAUUUGAACAUAUCUACUUUUAUAAUAGAAGUUUUCUAUUUAAAAAACGUAGAUAUAGGUUAGAAAUAUUGUUAUACUGCUUUGUCCUUUAUAUAGUGCCAUCUCCUUCAUUAGCUGCCUACACACUUAACAUUUGUUGCCUUCCAAUCUACCUCUGAAAUUUUCUUUCUCACUCUCAAAAUGAAGCUUUCGAUGCGUUUGAUCUCAGCUGUUCUCCUCUUGUUCAUGAUAUUCGUUGCUACAGGGAUGGGUCCAGUAUCAGUGGAGGCACGCACAUGUGAGUCACAGAGCCAUAGGUUCAAGGGUCCAUGCGUGAGCGAAAAUAACUGCGCAAACGUGUGCCACAACGAAGGUUUUGGCGGAGGCAAAUGCCGUGGACUUCGUCGUCGGUGCUUCUGCACCAGACAUUGCUGAUUCAUUGAACCUCAUAAAUCAUCAAAAUCAUCGGUCCAUUGUCUUGUGUUUGCUUCUUUCUUAUCUAAAUCUUCAGUAAAGUACCAUGUCGUACGGUACGCGUGUGUUUGUCUUUUGUUUGUUCUCGAAUAAGUCGUUUGUGUCUUUACAGUUGUAAGGUAAUGUUAUAUUCUAAAUGAUGGUAACUGGGGAUUUGAUAAUAUAAACAUGACUAAAAUUAAAAUGUGGUACUAUAUAACUGCAAUUUAUGUGUGUUUGUGGGAUAAAUGAUAGUUUCCAUUGAAUAAGUGGUGUGAAAAUCAUAUUUGAUAAAGGAAAAAUAUUUUGGGAAUUCACUAGAUAAAUAUUAAAAAUCUCGGUUUCUAUUUUUCUGAACCUGAAAAAUCAUAGAUCAAACCAGAAAAAGUAUAUUAAACACAAAAAGUUAAAUAUCCCAGUCAACGUUAACUUUAUUGUAUGCAUGUACUCAAUCCAUGUCUAUGUAUAGUCAUAGUCUAUGCUCUUUAGAAAGGAAGAAAUUUGAGAUCACACUCUUCAAUUUCCACUAGCCAGUGCAUGUUAUUGUGAAGGAGAUUCAACUUCUUUUAAGAGCAAAGUUCUUGGAACUCGAUAAGAAAACUUAUAAAAUGCUGACUAUCUACCUCAAGCAACUAUAAUUAUGAAAACUAUCUCUCAAAUUAGUUUUGACGCCGGGGGAAGUUCCCUAGUGGAUAAAUUGAAGGUUUGUGGUUGGAUUCUAUUGUUGGUUUCUUAAGGAUCGUCUUGAGGAAGCUGUAGGAGCAGAGAUAGUAAGGUUUGAGGGUGGCCCAAACAUCGGCAGCUUGGAUAUAGACGAGCCAAACGCCGUCAUCCUCACCACUAAAACAAUAUAAACUAUAACUUCAGGAGAUCAGAAAGGUUUUCUGACUUUUACUUAUAUUUAUACAUCAUUGGUUUUUGGUUUCAAUUAAAAUGUUUACUCGAAUGGAGGAAGUCUCUUUUGCAGGUAGUUUGUAUUUACUGUUUUGGACUCUAAGAGUUAUUACAGUUAUUAGUUUUAGCUGAAGAAGAUGAGCAUAGCUGUUCUUAACCUCAUGGUUAUAGUGUAAAACUAACUUCAAGCACUGAAAUUCGUAUAUCCAUUGCAAUUCGCUUCACCUAUCUUACGAAAUUAGUUGACAUUACCACUCCACCUAUUGCAGUUUUCGCAGAGCUCUUUAGGUUCCAAACUUCGGACAUCUGACGUCAUUGGCAAAUACUAAUACUCAGUUUCCAGACAUCAGCCUCAUCAAGACAACCUUCAACGACGAUGCCCAGACAACUCCCUUAUAGCCAUUUAUUCUCCUUCGAGGAAGGUUCACAAUCUUUUGCUACUGUGGCAUAAUCCAGGUGCUUUAAAUUAUAUGAUUAUAUUGUCAAUGCAGCAACUGUUUGAUUCUAUGUAUUCUUUCAAUUUGGAAUGACAUACCGUCUUACUAUGUGUUAGAUUUGAAAGUCUGGUUGUUAGGUAAUGUAUACUUUUUCCAGUGUUAUCUGCGUGCUCAGGAAUUUUUUCUACAGGGCCGUGAGUGUAUGGUUGGACGUAACGUAUAUAUAUGUCAUCAGCUUGUCUUUGUUGAUCAUGGUUGUGGAAGUUCCGUUCAUACUUUUUUUUGGUCAAUUUUUUCAUUAAAAACAUUAAAACUUCCAAGAUACAACAUAGUUUUUCUUAUGUAACCUAGCUUGUUUAGCAAGGGAGUCUACAACAUUAAGAUUUUCUCUAGAUAUGUAAUGAAAAGUGUAAUCUCUAUGUCUUGAUAUCUCAAAGAUAUCCUGUGGCACAAAGACAGCCUCUGUGAUACGGACGUUUCUGUUGGUUUGUUCAGUUUUGAACUGAUUUAACUCAUCAAAUAAACUCUUAUAAUUUCCCAUGAA